CUACAGGCUUAACACAUGCAAGUCGAGGGGCAGCAUGGUCUUAGCUUGCUAAGGCCGAUGGCGACCGGCGCACGGGUGAGUAACACGUAUCCAACCUGCCGUCUACUCUUGGACAGCCUUCUGAAAGGAAGAUUAAUACAAGAUGGCAUCAUGAGUCCGCAUGUUCACAUGAUUAAAGGUAUUCCGGUAGACGAUGGGGAUGCGUUCCAUUGGAUAGUAGGCGGGGUAACGGCCCACCUAGUCUUCGAUGGAUAGGGGUUCUGAGAGGAAGGUCCCCCACAUUGGAACUGAGACACGGUCCAAACUCCUACGGGAGGCAGCAGUGAGGAAUAUUGGUCAAUGGGCGAGAGCCUGAACCAGCCAAGUAGCGUGAAGGAUGACUGCCCUAUGGGUUGUAAACUUCUUUUAUAAAGGAAUAAAGUCGGGUAUGGAUACCCGUUUGCAUGUACUUUAUGAAUAAGGAUCGGCUAACUCCGUGCCAGCAGCCGCGGUAAUACGGAGGAUCCGAGCGUUAUCCGGAUUUAUUGGGUUUAAAGGGAGCGUAGAUGGAUGUUUAAGUCAGUUGUGAAAGUUUGCGGCUCAACCGUAAAAUUGCAGUUGAUACUGGAUAUCUUGAGUGCAGUUGAGGCAGGCGGAAUUCGUGGUGUAGCGGUGAAAUGCUUAGAUAUCACGAAGAACUCCGAUUGCGAAGGCAGCCUGCUAAGCUGCAACUGACAUUGAGGCUCGAAAGUGUGGGUAUCAAACAGGAUUAGAUACCCUGGUAGUCCACACGGUAAACGAUGAAUACUCGCUGUUUGCGAUAUACUGCAAGCGGCCAAGCGAAAGCGUUAAGUAUUCCACCUGGGGAGUACGCCGGCAACGGUGGAACUCAAAGGAAUUGACGGGGGCCCGCACAAGCGGAGGAACAUGUGGUUUAAUUCGAUGAUACGCGAGGAACCUUACCCGGGCUUAAAUUGCAGAUGAAUUACGGUGAAAGCCGUAAGCCGCAAGGCAUCUGUGAAGGUGCUGCAUGGUUGUCGUCAGCUCGUGCCGUGAGGUGUCGGCUUAAGUGCCAUAACGAGCGCAACCCUUGUUGUCAGUUACUAACAGGUUCCGCUGAGGACUCUGACAAGACUGCCAUCGUAAGAUGUGAGGAAGGUGGGGAUGACGUCAAAUCAGCACGGCCCUUACGUCCGGGGCUACACACGUGUUACAAUGGGGGGUACAGAGGGCCGCUACCACGCGAGUGGAUGCCAAUCCCCAAAACCUCUCUCAGUUCGGACUGGAGUCUGCAACCCGACUCCACGAAGCUGGAUUCGCUAGUAAUCGCGCAUCAGCCACGGCGCGGUGAAUACGUUCCCGGGCCUUGUACACACCGCCCGUCAAGCCAUGGGAGCCGGGGGUACCUGAAGUGCGUAACCGCGAGGAGCGCCCUAGGGUAAAACUGGUGACUGGGGCUAAGUCAUAA
rnacentral:rRNA from 1 species